rnacentral:rRNA from 1 species
AUUGAACGCUGGCGGCAGGCUUAACACAUGCAAGUCGAGCGGGGGAAGGUAGCUUGCUACUGGACCUAGCGGCGGACGGGUGAGUAAUGCUUAGGAAUCUGCCUAUUAGUGGGGGACAACAUCUCGAAAGGGAUGCUAAUGCCGCAUACGUCCUACGGGCGAAAGCAGGGGAUCGUCGGACCUUGCGCUACUAGAUGAGCCUAAGUCGUAUUAGCUAGUUGAUGGGGUAAAGGUCUACCAAGGCGACGAUCUGUAGCGGGUCUGAGAGGUUGAUCCGCCACACUGGGACUGAGACACGGCCAAGACUCCUACGGGAGGCAGCAGUGGGGAAUAUUGGACAAUGGGGGGAACCCUGAUCCAGCCAUGCCGCGUGUGUGAAGAAGGCCUUAUGGUUGUAAAGCACUUUAAGCGAGGAGGAGGCUACUUUAGUUAAUACCUAGAGAUAGUGGACGUUACUCGCAGAAUAAGCACCGGCUAACUCUGUGCCAGCAGCCGCCGUAA